CUGUCAUCUUCUUGUUACUAUCUGUCGUGGUUUCCUUCACAUUUAUUUACGUGACUCUUUGUAAAUUUACUUUCCAGGAGAACUUCAGGAUGAAACAGACACUCUUCGGAAAAAAAACGGAGAACUUCAGGAUGAAACAGACACUCUUCGGAAAAAAAACGGUAAAUUUUCUGAUAUCCCAUUGCUCUUGAGCCCCUCCGAAGAGACUGGUUCAGCCUUUCAUCUUGUGUGCCGUUUCAUCUAUUUCGCUUCUGUCGGCAUGCCUUUCUCUUGCACGUCCUGUCUACGGUCUCCACCUCAAUGUUUUGCGUUGGACGUGUCCCACGUUCCUUCUGUCCAUUUCUGUUUGCCUACCUCCUCUGCUCUGCCAUUCCUUCUCUUUGCAAUGCAUGCCAUGCCCUCCCGGUAAGGACUGGCUUUGCUUCGGUCUUUCAGGCACUUGCCACAGUUUCAUGAAGAAGUUGGUGAGAUGCAAAGCAUUACGCUG
ensembl:lncRNA